rnacentral:rRNA from 1 species
CGAAGGAGUGGCGAACGGGUGAGUAAUACAUAAGCAACCUACCCACGAAGACUGGGAUAAUCUCUGGAAACGGGGACUAAUACCGGAUAGGUAAUCGGAAGGCAUCUUCUGGUUAUUAAAGGUUAAAAACACUGGUGGAUGGGCUUAUGGCGCAUUAGUUAGUUGGUGAGGUAACGGCCCACCAAGACGAUGAUGCGUAGCCGGCCUGAGAGGGUGAACGGCCACAUUGGGGCUGAGACACGGCCCAG